rnacentral:lncRNA from 1 species
GUAGGGCGCGGGCGGGGCCGUCUGGACAGCUCCCGGGGCACGCGGGGCGGGCGGGCGGGCCGCCUCCCGGGCCCGGGCCUGCGGGCGGCGCGCGGCUGCAGUCCUGCUUGUCCGACUUAGGCUGGCUUCUCCCAGAGCAGCCUCAGCAGUCUCAUCCAGGCCCUUUCUGACCUGCCUUCAAAUCCCCUUCCACUUUGCUCAUUUCCUCGCAAGCUCUGGGGAUCUGUAAAAGCUUGCCACCUUCGCAGUCGGCCUCCUUAGUAAUAAAAAUAUGCGUGGGGGGGCUUCUACAAUAAUCUAGCCCUGUCCUAGGCGCCGUGGGCGCUCACAGUGGCAAGGAAGGAACAUAACCCGCCUCAGAGAGGCUAACAACCUCGGUCCUUAGAUGCACAAAAACACUGCAGAGUGCUAAUGUUAUCCAGAGCAUCAAAAAGGCAUGCGAGGAUCAAAUUUUGCGUGGUGUCUACUAAGUGUAAGGAAAGCACCAAGCCAUUUUCUCUGCCCUCUGGAAGCUUAGAAUGUACAGUCCUAUCACCAAGCAAACUAAAAGCAUGAAACCAAUAAAUGGGAAUACAGUAAAGUAUUUUUAUCUCUACAGGUUCAUUCAUGCAGCAGGCAUUUAUUGGGUGACUGUCUGCAGUACUGCAAAAGGUUGCACAGGAAAUGGAAGAUCUGGUCCCUGCAGAGAGAGUUUUCCUUUCACAGUGGUGUAAGAGAACAUGGAUUAUUAAAACCUAUAAAGCAAAAAUCAGCUUAGUUAUACAUAUCAACUUCUAGAAGCAAAUUCUUUAGAAGAAUAUUGGUGGGAUGUUUGAGAACUGAUGCUGUUGAUGAAAAUCCUGAUGGAUUGAUGUGCUGCAGUUCAAUUUCUAAAGGUUUCUUGAAGAAAAAUAAAGAUUAAUGGUUGAAGAAAUGAGUAAAUUAUGUCUGUUCACUUCGUAAGGGCACGUAGAACCAACAUUGUACCACGUUGACGAGAGGAGCAAACUAUUCUGUUCAACAAGACAUUAUCAUCUGUCUUAUUAAGAUAAAGUUAUUUGAAGCUUUAGUUUUAUAGUUUUGUUCCUACCUAGUUUUGGUUUUAUAGUUGUGUGAUGGUUAUAGGCGUAUGAAGAUUAGUUUACAUCUGGUUCGUUACACCAGUUACAUUAGUUUACAUCUAGAUUAGUUAAAUGUGAUUGUUCACAUUUGAGUUGAGCCUUGAAGACUGAGU